rnacentral:rRNA from 1 species
AGGGUUUGAUUAUGGCUCAGGAUGAACGCUAGCGGGAGGCCUAACACAUGCAAGUCGAACGGGAUCCCCGAGCAAUCGGGGUGAGAGUGGCGCACGGGUGAGUAACGCGUAUGCAACCUACCUUUAACUGAGGGAUAGCCCAUAGAAAUGUGGAUUAAUACCUCAUAGUUCUAUUAGAUCGCAUGAUUUGAUAGAUAAAGCUCCGGCGGUUAAAGAUGGGCAUGCGUGACAUUAGUUUGUUGGUGGGGUAACGGCUCACCAAGACUACGAUGUCUAGGGGUUCUGAGAGGAUGAUCCCCCACACUGGUACUGAGACACGGACCAGACUCCUACGGGAGGCAGCAGUGAGGAAUAUUGGUCAAUGGGCGCAAGCCUGAACCAGCCAUCCCGCGUGAAGGAUGAAGGCCCUAUGGGUCGUAAACUUCUUUUAUACACCAAGAAAAAGCAGGACGUGUCCUGCCCCGACGGUAGUGUAUGAAUAAGCAUCGGCUAACUCCGUGCCAGCAGCCGCGGUAAUACGGAGGAUGCGAGCGUUAUCCGGAUUCAUUG